rnacentral:lncRNA from 1 species
GGCGGAGUGGUUGGGAAGGUGGUGGGGGUGAUGCGCAGGCUAAGCAGCGCACGCUAGCACCACUCCACCCACUCAUCCCCCUUCCUCCAAUCCCCUUUUCUUCACACCUUCCUCCACUCCCACCUCCACCCAUCAUGCCAACCACCUCCAUCUCCAUCUCCAUUUCCAUCUCCACCUCCACCUCUUCUUGUCUCUCUCCUCCACCACCACCACCACUACUUUGCUAUCCUGCGCUUCCUUAUUCUACGUCCCCAACCCCAUGUCCGCUCCUGCUCGCAAGUUUCCGGCGCCCUGCUGGACCCACGACGAAACCGUAGCCCUCAUCGACGCCUACCGUGAAAAAUGGUACUCUCUCCGCCGCGGCAACC